GCGGGAUAACCUCCACACUGGAACUGAGACAAGGACCAGACUUCUACGGGAGGCAGCAGUGAGGAAUAUUGGUCAAUGGAGGAAACUCUGAACCAGCUAUGCCGUGUGUAGGAUGACAGUCUUUUAGAUUGUAAACUACUUUUGUUUAGAAAUAAAAGUUCCUUCGUGUAAGGAAUCUGAAGGUACUAUGAGAAUAAGUGUCGGCUAAUUUCGUGCCAGCAGCCGCGGUAAUACGAGAGACACAAGCGUUAUUCGGAUUUAUUGGGUUUAAAGGGUGUGCAGGCUGUUUAUUAAGUCAGUAGUGAAAGCUUACAGCUUAACUGUAAAAUUGCUAUUGAAACUGGUUCUCUAGAGUAAGAUUGGAGCGUCUGGAAUGUAUGGUGUAGCGGUGAAAUGCGUAGAUAUCAUACAGAACACCAAUAGCGAAGGCAGGAUGCUAAAUCUUUACUGACGCUGAGGCACUAAAGCGUGGGGAGCAAACAGGAUUAGAUACCCUGGUAGUCCACGCCCUAAACUAUGAUCACUAGCUAUUGGAAAAACUAUAUUCAGUGGCUAAGCGAAAGCGAUAAGUGAUCCACCUGGGAAGUACUAUUUCAAGAUUGAAACUCAAAGGAAUUGACGGGGUUCCGCACAAGCGGUGGAGCAUGUGGUUUAAUUCGAUGAUACGCGAGGAACCUUACCAAGGCUUAAUGUGUAACGAAUAAGCUGGAAACAGUUUAGUCUAAUAAGACGUUAGACAAGGUGCUGCAUGGUUGUCUUCAGUUCGUGCUGUGAAGUGUUUGGUUAAGUCCUAUAACGAGCGCAACCCCUAUUGUUUGUUGCCAGCGGGUAAAGCCGGG
rnacentral:rRNA from 1 species